rnacentral:rRNA from 1 species
GGCCAGACUCCUACGGGAGGCAGCAGUGGGGAAUAUUGCACAAUGGGGGAAACCCUGAUGCAGCAACGCCGCGUGAGUGAAGAAGUAUUUCGGUAUGUAAAGCUCUAUCAGCAGGGAAGAAGAUGACGGUACCUGAGUAAGAAGCCCCGGCUAACUACGUGCCAGCAGCCGCGGUAAUACGUAGGGGGCAAGCGUUAUCCGGAUUUACUGGGUGUAAAGGGAGCGCAGACGGUGAGACAAGUCUGAAGUGAAAGCCCGGGGCUCAACCCCGGGACUGCUUUGGAAACUGCCUGACUGGAGUGCUGGAGAGGCAAGCGGAAUUCCUAGUGUAGCGGUGAAAUGCGUAGAUAUUAGGAGGAACACCAGUGGCGAAGGCGGCUUACUGGACUGUAACUGACGUUGAGGCGCGAAAGCGUGGGGAGCAAACAGGAUUAGAUACCCUUGUA